GAGUUUGAUCCUGGCUCAGGAUGAACGCUAGCGGCAGGCUUAACACAUGCAAGUCGAGGGGUAACAUUGUAGCUUGCUACAGAUGACGACCGGCGCACGGGUGCGUAACGCGUAUACAAUCUACCUUUAACAGGAGGAUACCCUUUAGAAAUGAAGAAUAACACUCCAUGGUAUUUAGAAAUCGCAUGAUUUUUAAAUUAAACAUUCAUGGGCUAAAGAUGAGUAUGCGUCCUAUUAGCUAGAUGGUAAGGUAACGGCUUACCAUGGCAACGAUAGGUAGGGGCCCUGAGAGGGGGAUCCCCCACACUGGUACUGAGACACGGACCAGACUCCUACGGGAGGCAGCAGUGAGGAAUAUUGGGCAAUGGAGGCAACUCUGACCCAGCCAUGCCGCGUGCAGGAUGACUGCCCUAUGGGUUGUAAACUGCUUUUAUACAGGAAGAAACACUCCCUCGUGAGGGAGCUUGACGGUACUGUAAGAAUAAGGACCGGCUAACUCCGUGCCAGCAGCCGCGGUAAUACGGAGGGUCCAAGCGUUAUCCGGAAUCAUUGGGUUUAAAGGGUUCGUAGGCGGAUUAAUAAGUCAGAGGUGAAAUCCCACAGCUCAACUGUGGAACUGCCUUUGAUACUGUUAGUCUUGAAUUAUGUGGAAGUAGAUAGAAUGUGUAGUGUAGCGGUGAAAUGCUUAGAGAUUACACAGAAUACCGAUUGCGAAGGCAGUCUACUACGUAUAUAUUGACGCUAAUGAACGAAAGCGUGGGGAGCGGACAGGAUUAGAUACCCUGGUAGUCCACGCCGUAAACGAUGUCUACUUGGAGGCUGUGGCCUUGAGCCGUGGCUUUCGGAGCUAACGCGUUAAGUAGACCGCCUGGGGAGUACGGUCGCAAGAUUAAAACUCAAAUGAAUUGACGGGGGCCCGCACAAGCGGUGGAGCAUGUGGUUUAAUUCGAUGCAACGCGAAGAACCUUACCUACUCUUGACAUCCAGAGAACUUUCCAGAGAUGGAUUGGUGCCUUCGGGAACUCUGAGACAGGUGCUGCAUGGCUGUCGUCAGCUCGUGUUGUGAAAUGUUGGGUUAAGUGCCGCAACGAGCGCAACCCUUAUCCUUGUUUGCCAGCGAGUAAUGUCGGGAACUCCAGGGAGACUGCCGGUGAUAAACCGGAGGAAGGUGGGGACGACGUCAAGUCAUCAUGGCCCUUACGUGUAGGGCUACACACGUGCUACAAUGGCGCAUACAGAGUGCUGCGAGCUCGCGAGAGUUAGCGAAUCACUUAAAGUGCGUCGUAGUCCGGAUUGGGGUCUGCAACUCGACUCCAUGAAGUCGGAAUCGCUAGUAAUCGCGGAUCAGAAUGCCGCGGUGAAUACGUUCCCGGGCCUUGUACACACCGCCCGUCACACCAUGGGAGUGGGUUGCUCCAGAAGUAGGUAGCUUAACCUUAGGGAGGGCGCUUACCACGGAGUGAUUCAUGACUGGGGUGAAGUCGUAACAAGGUAACCGUA
rnacentral:rRNA from 1 species